AUCCGCGUUCCAGCCUUCCUGGACCUGUUCAUGCAGUCACUCUUUAAACCAGGGGCUCGGAUCAACCAGGACCACAAGCACAAAUACAUCCACAUCUUGGCGUACGCAGCAAGCGUGGUUGAGACCUGGAAGAAGAACAAGCGAGUGAGCAUCAAUAAAGAUGAGCUGAAGUCAACGUCAAAAGCUGUCGAAACCGUUCACAAUUUGUGUUGCAACGAGAACAAAGGGGCCUCUGAACUAGUGGCAGAAUUGAGCACACUUUAUCAGUGUAUUAGGUUUCCAGUGGUAGCAAUGGGUGUGCUGAAGUGGGUGGAUUGGACUGUAUCAGAACCAAGGUACUUUCAGCUGCAGACUGACCAUACCCCCGUCCACCUGGCGUUGCUGGAUGAGAUCAGCACCUGCCACCAGCUCCUGCACCCCCAGGUCCUGCAGCUGCUUGUUAAGCUUUUUGAGACUGAGCACUCCCAGCUGGACGUGAUGGAGCAGGUGAGCAGUGCCCGUGGGGCUGGCCAGGGGGCUGGGGAGGACCCCCUCUAACCAGCUCCCUGUCCCCCUUCUUCUGUAGCUUGAGUUGAAGAAGACACUGCUGGACAGGAUGGUUCACCUGCUGAGUCGAGGUGCUGGAUGUCAUUGCUCCUCCUUAUACCUCUGACUUCGUGCAACUUUUCCUCCCCAUCCUGGAGAAUGACAGCAUCGCAGCUCACUGCAAAUCUAACUUCAUCAUGGUGAACUAAUUUAGAGCAUCCUCCAGAGCUGAAGCAGAACAUUCCAGAACCAGUUGUGGAAAAAACCCUUUCAAGAAGCUGUUUUAAGAGGCUCGGGCAGCGUCUUGAAAGUGGGCACCGCUGGGAGGAGGUGGAUGACUUCUUUACAAAGGAAAAUGGUAGCAGCUUCAGUGAGAAACUGCUCUUACGAACAGUCCCUUCUCUGCUGUCAAUCCAAUACUGCUCCCAAAUCCUGUUUUCAGUGUUCAUUUCCCUCAAGGCAGGCGCUGGGCUCCCAUGACCCCUCAGGACAGAUCCGGCCGUCAGCCGCGGGCCGCUGGGAACUCUACUCGGGGAACUCGUUUCAAAGCUGACCUCAGUUUUCUCACAAGAACCCAGUUAGUUGAUGUUUUAUUGUAAUUGUCUUAAUUUGCUAAGAACAAGUAAUAAGUAAAUUUUUAAAAAGCCUUUCUGCUGGGUUGGAUUAG
rnacentral:sRNA from 1 species